rnacentral:rRNA from 1 species
GUGCCAGCAGCCGCGGUAAUACGUAGGUGGCAAGCGUUGUCCGGAAUUAUUGGGCGUAAAGCGCGCGCAGGCGGUUUCUUAAGUCUGAUGUGAAAGCCCACGGCUUAACCGUGGAGGGUCAUUGGAAACUGGGUGACUUGAGUGCAGAAGAGGAAAGCAGAAUUCCAAGUGUAGCGGUGAAAUGCGUGGUGAUUUGGAGGAAAACCAGUGGCGAAGGCGACUUUCUGGUCUGCAACUGACGCUGAGGCGCGAAAGCAUGGGGAGCAAAAAGGAUUAGAUACCCUGGUAGUCCAUGCCGUAAACGAUGAGUGCUAAGUGUUAGGGGGUU